GCGAGAGUGGCGGAAUUGGUAGACGCGCUGGAUUUAGGUUCCAGUGGGGUAAACCCGUGAGAGUUCGAGUCUCUCCUUUCGCACCA
rnacentral:tRNA from 1 species